CAAGGUCUUGGCUCACAGCUGCUGUCCGUCCGGAGGAGUCACUCUGAGUCUCCGAAGCUGUUGGAUGUUUCACCGUUCCUCUCUAUAGAGUAAAAAACCAAACUUGUUCUAGUUCCACAGCGUCACACUCUACGCUCCCUCUGCACUUAAGAGUACACAGAAGUUGCCCCAUCGUGAUGUCACAAGGCGUGGACACCAGAGAAAGACAGAACUUUAUGGAACAGCCGAUAAGAAUGGCAGCUAUCUGGAGCGGCCUAUUCAGCAUCGACAAGCAUUCCUUCUUCUACAGAGGGAACAGAACAGCGUGGAGCUCCCACCCUGCAGGCUAAGAUUGAUACUUUAAA